GCCGGGCGUGGUGGCUCACGCCUGUAAUCCCAGCUCUUUGGGAGGCUGAGGCGGGCGGAUCGCUUGAGCUCAGGAGUUUGAGACCAGCCUGGGCAACAUGGUGAAACCCCGUCUCUA
rnacentral:SRP_RNA from 1 species